UGGAUAGCCAAGUGUGCCUUUUCUGUUUUAUUAUAAUGUACCAACAAAGAAUGUCAAAAAUAGACUUCAGAAACCAAAGAAAUAGCCAACUUUUCACUUUCGAUCAUUUCCAAAACUAUCAUCGGAUUUUAUAGUUUCAAGCAAAACAAACAACCCUCCUACGCUUUGCUUUUAAUUAUUUUCUUCUUUGCUUCCAUCAUAUU